UCGUAACAAGGUUUCCGUAGGUGAACCUGCGGAAGGAUCAUUAUCCAUACCAAAACCAGGUGCGGUCGCGGCCUCCGGGCAACCGGGUGGUUUCGCGCCGCAUUCCUGCACCCUUUUUUUACGAGCACCUUUGUUCUCCUUCGGCGGGGCAACCUGCCGCUGGAACUUAUAAAACCUUUUUUUGCAUCUAGCAUUACCUGUUCUGAUACAAACAAUCGUUACAACUUUCAACAAUGGAUCUCUUGGCUCUGGCAUCGAUGAAGAACGCAGCGAAAUGCGAUAAGUAGUGUGAAUUGCAGAAUUCAGUGAAUCAUCGAAUCUUUGAACGCACAUUGCGCCCCUUGGUAUUCCAUGGGGCAUGCCUGUUCGAGCGUCAUCUACACCCUCAAGCUCUGCUUGGUGUUGGGCGUCUGUCCCGCCUCUGCGCGUGGACUCGCCCCAAAUUCAUUGGCAGCGGUCUUUGCCUCCUCUCGCGCAGCACAAUUGCGUCUGCGAGGGGGCGUGGCCCGCGUCCACGAAGCAACAUUACCGUCUUUGACCUCGGAUCAGGUAUGGAUACCCGCUGAACUUAAGCAUAUCAAUAA
rnacentral:misc_RNA from 1 species